rnacentral:lncRNA from 1 species
ACUGCGGCAGCUGAAAGAGAAAAAGAUACUUCCAUCGAAACUCAGGUUCAGGAUGGAGGUAAAACAGAAGUGGCAGAUCAGACUGGGCAUGCUGACACCAAGAUGGAUGAAGCUGGUACAGAUGUUAAGGUACCAGAAACUGCAGAGGCUGGCAAAAAAGAAGAGGCUGCUGGUACUGAAGAAACCCCGACUGCAAUGGAGGUUCAAGAGAAACCUGCAGAAGCUAGUUGCACAGAUGGGACUCAAACUGCAAAAGAAGGGGAAGCCCCUACUGAAAAGGUGCCACAAACUCAGGCAGAGGAGAAUGGUACAUGUGAGAAACAACCAGAAAACCCUGAAACUGUGACAUUGGAAGCUAACGGGGGAGUAGAGAAAGAGAAUCCAAAUGGAGCAGUCCCUGUAUCUGAGGGAGAAGCCAAAGAGACACAAGGUUUACAGGAGGUGGCUGGCAAGUGUAGUGUUGAGGUCGAGGACAAAGGCAAGGCAGUAGAUGGGGAGGUGAUUGAAAAUGGUAAGGUUAAAGAAGGUGGGAAAGCUGAUACCCCACAACCUACAGGAUCUGCUCCUGCAAGCAACUAAUAUGACCACCAGUAUCCUAGCCACCCUGUGGUAUUCUAGUUUAUUGUAUUUGCCUGUAACCUCUAUGAUGAUUCCAUGGAUGACUGUAACAUUAAUGAUGUUUCUGCU